AUUGAACGCUGGCGGCAUGCUUUACACAUGCAAGUCGAACGGCAGCGCGGGGCAACCUGGCGGCGAGUGGCGAACGGGUGAGUAAUACAUCGGAACGUACCCAGAAGUGGGGGAUAACGUAGCGAAAGUUACGCUAAUACCGCAUACGUUCUACGGAAGAAAGUGGGGGACCUUCGGGCCUCAUGCUUUUGGAGCGGCCGAUGUCUGAUUAGCUAGUUGGUGAGGUAAAGGCUCACCAAGGCGACGAUCAGUAGCUGGUCUGAGAGGACGACCAGCCACACUGGGACUGAGACACGGCCCAGACUCCUACGGGAGGCAGCAGUGGGGAAUUUUGGACAAUGGGCGCAAGCCUGAUCCAGCAAUGCCGCGUGAGUGAAGAAGGCCUUCGGGUUGUAAAGCUCUUUUGUCAGAGAAGAAACGGCCGAGGCUAAUACCUUUGGCUAAUGACGGUACCUGAAGAAUAAGCACCGGCUAACUACGUGCCAGCCGCCGCCGUAA
rnacentral:rRNA from 1 species